UACGUAGGUGGCAAGCGUUGUCCGGAUUUAUUGGGCGUAAGCGCGCGCAGGUGGUGCGGUAAGUCUGCCGUGAAAUCUCCCGGCUCAACUGGGAGGGGGCGGUGGAGACUGCCGGACUGGAGGGACUCAGAGGCCGGUGGAAUUCCCGGUGUAGUGGUGAAAUGCGUAGAGAUCGGGAGGAACACCAGUGGCGAAGGCGGCCGGCUGGGGGUGCCCUGACGCUGA
rnacentral:rRNA from 1 species